rfam:Dipodomys ordii contig_1676, whole genome shotgun sequence.
AUAUGGUACUGAGAAGAUUAGCAUGGCCUUUGUGCAAGGAUGGUAUGCAAAUUUAUGAAGCAUUUCAUAUUUUA